UACAGAGGGUGCGAGCGUUAAUCGGAAUUACUGGGCGUAAAGCGUGCGCAGGCGGUUGUGUAAGACAGGUGUGAAAUCCCCGGGCUUAACCUGGGAACUGCGCUUGUGACUGCACGGCUAGAGUACGGCAGAGGGGGGUGGAAUUCCACGUGUAGCAGUGAAAUGCGUAGAUAUGUGGAGGAACACCAAUGGCGAAGGCAGCCCCCUGGGCCGAUACUGACGCUCAUGCACGAAAGCGUGGGGAGCAAACAGG
rnacentral:rRNA from 1 species